AUUAUAUAUACGUACAACAUUAAAAUUGUGUUUAUGUGUUGUUAUAUAUAGGAUCUAACCGGCUUAAUAGUAUUGAAGCGACCAAAUUAGUUUUAGUUUUGGAAUAGACUAUGAAAUAUAUGAAAUUGGCUUUACGAUGUUAGUGAGACUAUUAAAUUGUGUUCAGAGUGAAUCUCUCCUCAAUAUUGGAUUAAUGCAUAUCAUUAUUAUGGUCUUUAUUUUCUGUGUAUAUUAAGAAAUCAAAUAUGGGUCGUUUAUUAUAAUGGGAAACUUUGUGUGCACGACCGUUCAAGAUAUAUAACACAGAUUAUGGAUAUGCAAAAUGAAGUUUGGUCAAACUAAUCAAUCAAAACUAAAGAUCUUGCUCAAAUAAGGCUAAAUAUUAGUGCGUAUGUUGAUUAUGUUAGUAUCUUAGAUUUAGUUUUUAAGAGUUGUAAAGCUUAUAUAAGAUGAAUUUUGUAAUCCAAGCUGAAUGUGGGUUUCCCCUCCUUUGUUCUUUACUAUUUUCUGUUAAUGAAUCUCUCUAUACUCUCUCUAAUCUCUAUGUUUGCAUCCUCAAGUCUCUCUAAUCUCUCAAUCUCUCUCAAUCUCUCACAACACAUACUCUCAUCUGCUUACACUCAUUCUUUCAUCUAUCUCACCAUUACAAGACUCAAGUCGAACUCAUCUUUGAUUUUUCAUCACUCUCACACCAACAUCUUGAUAAUCUCACAUAUCUCAUAAAAAAUAACAACACGAGGGAUAAGAUGCAACAUAAAUGGAGCAGAAGAGGAG
rnacentral:lncRNA from 1 species